rnacentral:misc_RNA from 1 species
UCCCCGUUACCGGGGCAGUCUAGCCAGAAAAAUCCAACUGACUAAAGGGGUUGCGCUCGUUGAUGGACUUAACCAAACAUCUCACGACACGAGCUGACGACGGCCAUGCAACACCUGUCACUGCGUUCUAAAAGCACGUUUGCCUUUCGGCAAACUUCGCAGGAUGUCAAACCUGGGUAAGGUUCUUCGCUUAUCCUCGAAUUAAACAACACGCUCCACCGCUUGUGCGGGUCCCCGUCAAUUCCUUUAUGUUUUAGUCUUGCGACCGUACUCCACAGGCGAGAUGCUUAACGCGUUAGCUUCGCUACUACACGGGUCGAUACGUAUAACAGCUAGCAUCCAUAGUUUACGGCGUGGACUAC